rnacentral:rRNA from 1 species
GAGCGCCGUAGCAAUACGGAGCGGCAGACGGGAGAGUAACGCGUGGGAACCUUCCCAGUGGUACGGAAUAGCUCAGGGAAACUUGAGGUAAUACCGUAUAAGCCCUUAGGGGGAAAGAUUUAUCGCCAUUGGAUGGGCCCGCGUCGGAUUAGUUAGUUGGUGAGGUAACGGCUCACCAAGACGAAGAUCAGUAGCCGGCCUGAGAGGGCGCACGGCCACACUGGAACUGAAACACGGUCCAGACUCCUACGGGAGGCAGCAGUGGGGAAUUUUGCGCAAUGGGGGAAACCCUGACGCAGCAACGCCGCGUGGAGGAUGAAGUCCCUUGGGAUGUAAACUCCUUUCGAUCGGGACGAUAAUGACGGUACCGGAAGAAGAAGCACCGGCUAACUCUGUG